GAGGCGGCUCUGACCAGGUAUUUCCUGUCAAUCUUUUUUCUCCCAAUUGAUAUUUCAAUAUGUAUAAAUUCCUGCCAUAUUUCAUAUCAUUACUAGUCUACUUGCAAUUGACUAAAAACGGGGGCGGAUUUAGGGGUGGGAGGGGUCCCCUCGUCAAAAUAUUACAUUUUAUAUAUCAAGCAAAAUUUAUUUUUUACUUUUAUAUAUUAAAUUUUGAACCUCCUUAAACACAAUUUAAAAAUGUAGUUUAGUGGUUAAGAGAGUUAAAAAAUUUUAUAAUGUCGUAACUUUAAUUCCUACUAGCUACAAAAAUAAAAUUUGAACCCUAUUCGUGGAGAUCUUGCCUUUGACUCGAAAUAGCACCCACUUUGAGGGGUUUAAAGAUCUCUCCCUCUGAUUUAGUAAUUUAUUUUGGGAGUCAAAAGGGUUUUUUUUUACCAUGUAUUUCUUAAAUAAUUCAUAAUCAUUUUGAGUUAUGCAUUUUUUUAUUAACAAAUCUUUCUAUGUAGUUUUCAAAUAUAUAUGUAUAGUUAAUUUCAAAUUUGAAGAAAUUAUAAACAUUCCAAAUUUGACCCCCGUACUAUAUAUUUUGUCACAUAAAGUGGAACAAAAAAAGUAUAUUUUAAUAUUUAAAGGUAUCUAGAUGAAACUACUUGACGUAGAGGGACAGGGAUUUAUCCCGUGCAAGAAAUCUAUUAACCCAAUUCAACCUUAUAUAAAAGGUAUAUGAAUGUGCUUAUUGAUUUAGAGCAUGAAAUGAACGGGUUAAAAAUCUAGGAGAACAACACAUAAUUGUAUCUCGGCAUUCUGUCCAAAUUUAAAUACGCUUAAAUAAUAGAGUUUUCUUAUUAGAAUUAAGAGUCUAUAGUAGGUGGAAUAUGUUUGCACAUGCAUAAAAAAACAAAUAUUCCUAUUUGCAAUGGAACUAUUUAAAACUUUUUAUGCGUUGGGCCUCUUACCAUUCAUAAAGUCUGUCUUUUUUUAUUGAGUAAACCAUUCUUAGUCUCUCUCUGGCUGCUGUUAUAGUUUGCAACUUGCAGAUCAAAUGAUCUGUUUCUCUCAUUUAAGGGAAAAAAAAGUUUUCCAUUGAUGCAUGCAGACAAACCAAAUAUAAUAAAAUAAAAACAAAAAUGUCAACACAAACAUGUAAUUUUCCUAUCUUUAUUCUAAGGAGACAUUACUUUAAUUCAGCGUCUAAUAUGCGCCUCUUACUGUUACGAAUCAACCCCAACCCAGCAAGGAUAUCAACACACAAAUAACUAUUGGGUUGAGAAGAGCUAUUGGGCCAAGAACAAGUAAUAUGGCUAGGCUAAUUUGGGAUCCAUUACUCAGCCCAAGAACAGUUCUAUUAAACAGAGCAGUGGUCGGUGAUUUUGGAGAUUAUGCAAUUUGUGUUAGAAUCCCCUCUCUGGUCUGGUCUCUCUCUCCCUCCCUCGUCUGUUACUUUCUGCGGCUCUGUCCCCAUCCCCUUUCUUUCUGUAAUCUUCAAUUUUCCCUAUCUGUCUCUUACUAUCUUCUCUUGUAUUGAGUUCUUCAAUGUAUUAGUAAUCAAAUCCCUUUUCUUAGACUAUUGUUAUUGAUGGCGCAGCUCUUGCUUGGUUUGAUUGGCUUUUUCGAAAAAAGCAAUUUUUUGAUUGGAAUCAUUUUAAGGAGAAACUGAAGCUGCGUUUUCGCACCCGAAAUAGAGAAGAACCUGGCAGGUGCUUUGCCGUUCACCAGCGGCACAAGCCAAUGGUGAAAUUACUAGCACGAGAUGCGGCUAUUCCAUGGUGGUGCAAGAUUAACAUCUCAUCCUCGCUACAGUAUUGCAAGAAGCACUCGGACAACAACAACUUGAACCUGGCAUACGAUGUGUUUGAGGAAAUGUUGGGCGUCAUUCGAGAUAAUGAAGCAGCUGUUGAAACUAGUGAGUUACUAGAAAUGCAUAUUGAUGUCGCUUCCACGUAGAAUGUCUCUACUGGUAGUCAUGUUGAAGUUGAACUUCUUAAAAACAUGGAAAUAUUAGAUGGGCUACAAGCUACUAAUGUACUGGUAACUAAGAAAGACGAAUUAUUAGAUGAAGACCAUGUUUUCAACGAAAUGCCACAUAAUUGCGACUCCGCGGUACUAGAUGUUGUAUCUUACUUGGAAGAUGGUAAUUCAGAGGUAAACAAGGUGCUUGAUGGAAACCGCAAACAAACCAUUGAUAAGAACUAUGUCUCUCCAACUAAUGCGGCAACCAAUUUUUUAGUACCUUUUACUAGCCGAGAGGAUAUAGUGCCAAAAGUGAUUGCGAGCCCCUCUCAAGUCACACAUCCAUUUGAAAAUGUCAUAUUGCUUCACAUUCCCAGGAGUCCAUGUCUGUGGAGUUCUGUUGAUAAGAAAUUCAUGAUGGCUAAUGAGGUCUCAGAUAUCGAGCGGUAUGUUCCUGACAAAAUUUUAUUUGUUGGUUAUGAAAAAAUAGCAUGGGAUGAAGAGUUCACUUUAACAAUUAAGUAGUCAUAACUAUGUGAUUUUCGACUUGAAGUUUUGAGUUGUAUAAUACUAAAUACCUAUGCCACUUUAUCUUAUGGCGGUAAGGAGAGAAUUUUGAUGGACGAAAAGCUUUCUAUGUUUGGGGAUGUUAUCGUGCAAUCAUUUGUCGAGAGUGAUGUUAUCAUGGAAUCGUGUUUGCUUUCUCUUGAUAGCAGUGAAUUGGUAGGCUCAUCUUCCGGUGCGAGAUCUGUUAGACUUUCUUAUCCAUUUCCUAGUGGUGGCCGAGAGUUUGUAACACCCAUAGUUGAGCAAGAUGCUGGAACUUUCGUGUUGGGGGACUGCGAUCCAUGGGCUGGCGGUGCACUGGUUUCCACAGCGCAUAUGGAGAAUUUCUGGACUCCGCAGUGUAAGCUAUUUGUACUGCAGGAAUCUACUCGCAAGUUUUUCUCAUAUGCAUCUUCUUACUCUACAAUUAACGUAUGGGAUCCCGGACGACAAUUGUGUGUGAAUUCUUAUUAUAGUGAAAUAAUUGAAAAUAUAAUUAUUGGCUUAGAGAUAAGUGAUAUAUCGCUGGAGAAAUGUGAAAAUGUUGAUCAAGUGGAAGGAUCGCAAUUUUCUUGGUUUGGCCUGCACUCACCAACAUAUGCCUUUACAUGGGUAACAGUUGAACCUUUUAUGUCAUCUUCCCCAUAGUUGAGCAAGAUGCUGGAACUUUCGUGUUGGGGGACUGCGAUCCAUGGACUGGCGGUGCACUGGUUUCCACAGCGCAUAUGGAGAAUUUCUGGACUCCGCAGUGUAAGCUAUUUCUACUGCAGGAAUCUACUCGCAAGUUUUUCUCAUAUGCAUCUUCUUACUCUACAAUUAAAGUAUGGGAUCCCGGACGACAAUUGUGUGUGAAUUCUUAUUAUAGUGAAAUAAUUGAAAAUAUAUAUUGGCUUAGAGAUAAGUGAUAUAUCGCUGGAGAAAUGUGACAAUGUUGAUCAAGUGGAAGGAUCACAAUUUUCUUGGUUUGGCCUGCACUCACCAACAUAUGCCUUUACAUGGGUAACAGUUGAACCUUUUAUGUCAUCUUCCCCAUUGAAGAUCCUGCGGCCACCUCAAACCAAAUGCUUGGUUUCCCACAUGUCUUCUAUAAUACUCUUGGGUAUUCUAUUCAUUUUGUAGUUGCACAACACUUGUAUAGUAGUUGUUCAACCAUGAACAAAAUAGAACAGAGACAUACUAGUGCUAAUGAUGAACAACAAGCUAGCCGGACAUACUUAUUCAUUCGACACAUGGGAGAAUGUAUUGCUUCCAAGUAUGUGGUCCAAGUAGUUGAUAAGCUUUGUGUGAAGAAGGUCAAUCAGGAUUCAAGCAUAGUAGAGUUUUUAAAUGGAUUUUAUGUGGAAACUACACAAUACCUGAGGGUAAGGGCAACUACAACUACAUGUCAUCAUAUUGUCUCUUAUAAUAUAUGCAUUGAUGGACUUUGUAAGAAUGAUAAUAUGGAAGAAGCACUCAUUUUGAAGGAAGAAAUAAGAUUAAAUGGUAUAAUGUCAAGAACUGUCGUGUAUAGGAUGUGUACUCUGCUGAAACUUUCGAAAUGUGAUGACGUUGAGUGGAAGUUGAAAAACAUAUCUAACAAGGGGUGUGUUCCAAAAGAGGUGAUGUAAAAUACCAUCUUUGAUGGCCAUUACUCAACAGAAAAUAUCGUGAUGGCUUUAAAGGUGACCAAGGAAAGGAUACUAAGGUGCUUGAGGCAAAUUGAUGGGUUGCUGAUCACAUUACAUGGGUUGCUUUUGUGGGAAUUUUCUUCUGGAAAGUUUUCCUUGAUUCAAUCAUUUCGUUUUCCGCUAAUUGCUUCGCGAAGAGGGCAAGCAAGAUCAUGUCAAUAAACAGGGCAGGUUAGGAUGGCACUCAAGUUGAUAAUACUGCUAAUGUUCGAGAGCCACAAAGGAUAUGGUUUAGCUUGGUUUACUAAAAGUGCGUUGGAUCCUAUAUUUUCCAUUAGGCAUAAUGAAUGCCUUAGUAUUGAUAUUGUUGGUUGGAAGCUCAUGAGUAUCCUUGCUCUUGACUUGAACCUUGAGGACAAGGUUCUUAUUGAGGAUGGGAGUAUUGUUACGAAUUAACCCCAACUCAGCAAGGAUAUCAACACACAAAUAACUAUUAGGCUGAGAAGAGCUAUUGGGCCGAGAACAAGUAAUAUGGCUAGGCUAAUUUGGGAUCCAGGUUGAGUAAUGAGCGAAAGAACAGUUCUGUUAAACAGAGUAGUGGUUGGUGAUUUUGGAGAUUAUGCAAUUUGUGUUAGAAUCCCCUCUCUGGUCUGGUCUCUCCCUCCCUCCCUCGUCUGUUCCUUUCUGCGGCUCUGUUCCCAUCCCCUUUCUUUCUGUAAUCUUCACUUUUCCCUAUUACUUUUCCCUAUCUGUCUUUUACUAUCUUCUCUUGUAUUGAGUUCUUCAAUGUAUUAGUAAUCAAAUCCCUUUUCUUAGACUAUUGUUAUUGAGGAUUCAUAACACUUACCGGCAUCAUGUCGGUAACAGUGUUGAAGGAACCUGAAUAUAUAUAUUUUCAUAAUACAAUUAG
rnacentral:lncRNA from 1 species